rnacentral:rRNA from 1 species
AUUGAACGCUGGCGGCAGGCCUAACACAUGCAAGUCGAACGAGUGGCGGACGGGUGAGUAAUGUCUGGGAAACUGCCUGUUGGAGGGGGGUAACUACUGGGAACGGUAGCUAAUACCGCAUACCGUCAGGUGUUCCCAGAUGGGAUUAGCUUUUUGGUGGGGUAACGGCGCACAAAGGCGACGAUCCCUAGCUGGUCUGAGAGGAUGACCAGCCAGACUGGAACUGAGACAAGGUCCAGACUCCCACGGGAGGCAGCGGUGGGGAAUAUUGCGCAAUGGGCGCAAUCCGGAUGCAGCCAUGCCGCGUGUAGGAAGAAGGCCUUCGGGUUGUAAAGUACUUUCAGCGGGGAGGCGUUACCCGCAGAAGAAGCACCGGCUAACUCCGUGCCAGCAGCCGCGGUAAUAC